AUUGAACGCUGGCGGCAUGCUUUACACAUGCAAGUCGAACGGUAACAGGCCGCCAGGUGCUGACGAGUGGCGAACGGGUGAGUAAUGCAUCGGAACGUGCCCAGCCGUGGGGGAUAACUACUCGAAAGAGUAGCUAAUACCGCAUACGAUCUAUGGAUGAAAGCGGGGGACCGUAAGGCCUCGCGCGAUUGGAGCGGCCGAUGUCAGAUUAGGUAGUUGGUGGGGUAAAGGCUCACCAAGCCAACGAUCUGUAGCUGGUCUGAGAGGACGACCAGCCACACUGGGACUGAGACACGGCCCAGACUCCUACGGGAGGCAGCAGUGGGGAAUUUUGGACAAUGGGCGCAAGCCUGAUCCAGCAAUGCCGCGUGCAGGAAGAAGGCCUUCGGGUUGUAAACUGCUUUUGUACGGAACGAAACGGCUCUGGUUAAUACCCGGGGCUAAUGACGGUACCGUAAGAAUAAGCACCGGCUAACUACGUG
rnacentral:rRNA from 1 species